GCCAGGCGUGGUGGCUCAUGCCUGUAGUCCCAGCUACUCGGGAGGCUGAGGCAGGAGAAUGGCGUGAACCCAGGAGCUGGAGUUUGCAGUGAACCGCGAUCGUGCCACUGCACUCCAGCCUGGGCAACAGUGCAAGACUCUGUCUCAA
rnacentral:sRNA from 1 species